GACUUGUGGCACAAUGGGUCAGUGCAUCUGGCUGUUAACCAGAAGGUUGGUGGUUUGAGCCCAUCCAGGGAUG
rnacentral:tRNA from 1 species